rnacentral:rRNA from 1 species
UACGUAGGGUGCGAGCGUUGUCCGGAAUUAUUGGGCGUAAAGAGCUCGUAGGCGGUCUGUCGCGUCGGUCGUGAAAACUUGGGGCUUAACCCCGAGCUUGCGGUCGAUACGGGCAUGACUGGAGUUCGGCAGGGGAGACUGGAAUUCCUGGUGUAGCGGUGAAAUGCGCAGAUAUCAGGAGGAACACCGAUGGCGAAGGCAGGUCUCUGGGCAUUAACUGACGCUGAGGAGCGAAAGCAUGGGGAGCGAACAGG